GGUAGUAGCAAAUACUCGAGAGUGGCCCUCGGGGGCUACCAUGGAGAAGGGUUUCUUGUGAACAGCUGUUGUUCAAGAGUCAGUCGAUCCUAAGUCCGGGGAGAGAUCCUCGUACCACGGGCGAAGGCGUUUUCGAAUCUCCCUUGAGGCGAGAGGGAAUGCGGUUCGUAUUCCGGAACCUGACGCGGAACCGCUCCCUAGUGUUCGGGGCUCUUUUGUCUCGUCUGGGUAACCAGAAUGAACUCGAAGAAGCGGCCAGGGGAUCUGGGUAGAAUUCUCUUUUCUCUGUGAGCGUUGUACGUUCCUGGAAUCCUCUGGCUGGGCGAUAGGGACGCGAGCUCGAAGAGCACCGGUCGUUGCGGCGAUGUCCGUGUUCCCCAUUAGGACCUUGAAAAUUCUAGAGGGACACGCGGAGUCUUCGCGUCUGUUCGUACCGAUAUCCGCAGCAGGUCUCCGAGGUGAGCAGCCUCUAGCC
rnacentral:rRNA from 14 species